rnacentral:rRNA from 1 species
GGCUCAGGAUGAACGCUAGCGGCAGGCCUAACACAUGCAAGUCAGGGGCAGCACGGUGUAGCAAUACACUGGUGGCGACCGGCGCACGGGUGCGUAACGCGUAUGCAACCUACCCAUAACAGGGGGAUAACACUGAGAAAUUGGUACUAAUACCCCAUAACAUCAGGACCGGCAUCGGUUCUGGUUGAAAACUCCGGUGGUUAUGGAUGGGCAUGCGUUGUAUUAGCUGGUUGGUGAGGUAACGGCUCACCAAGGCAACGAUACAUAGGGGGACUGAGAGGUUAACCCCCCACAUUGGUACUGAGACACGGACCAAACUCCUACGGGAGGCAGCAGUGAGGAAUAUUGGUCAAUGGACGCAAGUCUGAACCAGCCAUGCCGCGUGCAGGAAGACGGCUCUAUGAGUUGUAAACUGCUUUUGUACGAGGGUAAACGCUCUUACGUGUAAGAGCCUGAAAGUAUCGUACGAAUAAGGAUCGGCUAACUCCGUG